UGAGAGGAAGCCUGGUUCUCCCUGGAUCCCCCUGCCUGGAACUGCUCUGCCCUGGGAGGAAUGGGGCAGCACUCUGCCCUCUUUUGCCACAGGGGUGUGUGACCAUGCUGCUGACCUUGCUGUCUCUCUUUACACCUUCCAGUGUAAGGCAGAGCUGAUCAGUCCCAGCACCACCAGCCAGGCAGCAUCAUCCCUCAGCUCCCUGGCUCCUGAAAGAGCAGCCAGUCAGGCAGGCUGGAACAGGAGCUCCCCAGUCUCUCUGGAAUGGAGAGACAGCCAACUAGCACUGUGUUGACUGAAGGUUGACCAGGUCACUGUCUCAGCUUCUGGACAGCAGCACAAGCAAGCAUUUGACUGCUUGACACCAGAGCUCUACAGGUGGCUGUCAAGCUUCCUGGGAAAGACAGAUUCAGAGGAUAUCAAGCAGAGACACCAGCUGUUAGAAGAAGAAAAGGAAUCCAGACGCAAGUAGAAAUCUACUGUGCUGAGUGCUGUGCAGACAGCUAGAGACAGUCCCUGUCCCAAGCAGCAGGAGAAACAGCAUCAAGCUUCUAAAAGAUCCAGUGCAACUUCACAGUGAAGCAAGGACACAACAGACAGCAACUCUCCACGAAGCAAGAAAUGUGAUAGCUGUAUUCACAUACUGCAGAUGCAGUGAAAUGAAUCUAGGUCACUAUCGCCUAAUAAGAACCUAAUAUUUGUAAAGUACUGAGUACUUUACAACAUCACUUGAUGUUUUGGAGUCCAGUGCCUACUGCUUCUUGCAAUGCAGCUGUAGUAAUAAGGAGUAAGUUGAGUCAGUGAUGCUGUUCAAAUCAGAAUAGGAAAGAGGAUAACCUUGCUAAUAAAAUGGUAUGCAAAAAUU